rnacentral:rRNA from 1 species
CACGUAGGGGGCGAGCGUUGUCCGGAAUCAUUGGGCGUAAAGAGCUCGUAGGCGGCUCGGUAAGUCGGGUGUGAAACCCCCAGGCUCAACCUGGGGACGCCACCCGAUACUGCUGUGGCUAGAGUCCAGUAGGGGAGUGUGGAAUUCCCGGUGUAGCGGUGAAAUGCGCAGAUAUCGGGAGGAACACCAGCGGCGAAGGCGGCACUCUGGGCUGGAACGUGACGCUGAGGAGCGAAAGCGUGGGUAGCAAACAGG